GAUGAACGCUGGCGGCGUGCCUAAUACAUGCAAGUCGAGCGAACAGACGAGGAGCUUGCUCCUCUGACGUUAGCGGCGGACGGGUGAGUAACACGUGGAUAACCUACCUAUAAGACCGGGAUAACUUCGGGAAACCGGAGCUAAUACCGGAUAAUAUAUUGAACCGCAUGGUUCAAUAGUGAAAGACGGUUUUGCUGUCACUUAUAGAUGGAUCCGUGCCGCAUUAGCUAGUUGGUAAGGUAACGGCUUACCAAGGCAACGAUGCGUAGCCGACCUGAGAGGGUGAUCGGCCACACUGGAACUGAGACACGGUCCAGACUCCUACGGGAGGCAGCAGUAGGGAAUCUUCCGCAAUGGGCGAAAGCCUGACGGAGCAACGCCGCGUGAGUGAUGAAGGUCUUCGGAUCGUAAAACUCUGUUAUUAGGGAAGAACAAAUGUGUAAGUAACUAUGCACGUCUUGACGGUACCUAAUCAGAAAGCCACGGCUAACUACGUG
rnacentral:rRNA from 1 species